UUGGACCUGAUAUCAGACAAGA
rnacentral:rRNA from 1 species